rnacentral:rRNA from 1 species
UACAGAGGUCUCAACCGUUGUUCGGAUUCAUUGGGCGUAAAGGGUGCGUAGGCGGUCGCGCAAGUCGGAUGUGAAAUCUUAGGGCUCAACCCUGAAACUGCAUUCGAUACUGCGUGGCUCGAGUACUGGAGAGGAGACUGGAAUUUACGGUGUAGCAGUGAAAUGCGUAGAUAUCGUAAGGAGGACCAGUGGCGAAGGCGAGUCUCUGGACAGUUACUGACGCUGAGGCACGAAGGCCAGGGGAGCAAACGGG